GAACCCCAUAAAUUAGGACAUUGGUUUUAGGGUUAUGAUGAGAUCAUACCAGUGAAACCUAAAAUCCUAAAAUCCUAAUUUAGAAUAUUCUCAGUCAAAUUGGUAUAUUGAGUCGGGGAUCAAUAUUACCGGAAAGACUGGCACAUCUUAUGUAUGCUCAAUGUAGAGGGUGAUUGAUCUCACAAUCACUUGUGUGAGACACUAAUAUAAAGAUGUGGGUGCUCAUUAGAGGAAUGAGUUCACUGAAAUGACCAGCCAUGAGAACAUCUUAUGGAUUCUUACUUAAUUAUCAAAAGACGGUUCUCAUAGUGGGAGUUGUGCAAGUGAUCCUUAGACCUGAGAUCACCAUGGUACCUUGUGCACUUGAAGCUAUGUUUUGGUUUACCCUCAUUCACGACAUUGUUGUGUACGGGGUAUUCUGGACAUGGUGGAUUUUGUACGAAGGUUGUGAGUAGGUCAACAAGGAAUCAGUCACUUCUAGUAAGAGAAGGUAGCAUCCUACUUACUCUAAUCUUAUGACGAUUCAAGAAGCCUUUGGUCAAAGCAAAAUGAAUAUUAGAAAGAGUUUCUAAUGUUUCAUUAUUUGAAUUAUCAUAUAAAAGAUUGAGAGAGACAUGAAUAAGUGAUUGAGUUUGAUAUUGAUCCAUACUCAUGCACUUAUUCAGGAUGUAGUAUGACUGAGGGAUUGAAUUGCACGGUAACUUGCCACUGAAGGAUAUGUUUGGAUUUGUCCAAUACAUUCCUCAUCUUCCGGGUAGACAUGAUACGUUGCUAGACGUCAAUCUUGUCUUGUGGGUUGAUCGGAUCAAAGAAUUUGAUUAGAUCAAAGCAUCAGAAAGGUUCUGAUUGCUAAGUCAGGUUUAGCACUAAAUUGAACCUAAAUUGGAUUAGAGGUAUUCUAAUCAUGUUAGGUCAACUUGCACCUGCACCUACUGCUGGCUAAGAUAAGGAACCCAAUGGAUCACACACAAGGGAAUUGAUCAAGGGUCUAAUUGGAUUAGAUCAUGUUUGCAAGAUGAACAUGCUAGCACGUGUUGCAAACCCUAGCUCCUGAUUCAAAUUAAAUUUGAAUCUGAUUCUUUGAUUAGGUUGAUCUAAUAUGAUUAAAUCAUGACCUAAUAUGGGUUAGCCAAGAGUUGAAACCCAUUUGGCUUUAAUUAG
rnacentral:lncRNA from 1 species